GCACCACCACACCCAGCAAAUUUUUUAUUUUUUUAAAUAUUUUUGUAGAGAGAAUUUGCUGUGUUGCCCAGGCCAUCGUUCUGCCUCGUCCUCCCCAAGUACAUGAGCCACUGCAUCCAGCAUGAAAAAUUAGUGAUCAUAAUUUUAGUUCUUUGCUCCUCUGACAUAGCUUUGGGACAUGGUCUAAAUUAAAUAUUACUGGUGCUCUGGGUGCACCGAUAUAGGAUUGUUCUGUAUAUUUCGUGUCCUAGGGCUGCCAUAACAAAUUUCCACAAACUGGCUGGCUUAAAACAACAGAAAUGUAUUCUCUCACAGUUCUGGAGGCCUGAAGUCAGAAAUCAAGGUGACAGCAGGGCCGUGCUCCCUCAGAAGGCUCUAGGGGAGAACCUCUCCUGCCUCCUCCUAGCUACUGGUGGUUCACAGUGGUCCUUGGUGCUCCGUGGCCUGCAGCUGCGUCACUCCUCUCUGCCUUUUAUCUUCACAUGGCCUUCUUCUCUGUGUCUCUGCAUGUCCUUUCCUCUGCGUGUCCUUUCCUCUUAUAAAGACACCACUCAUUGCAUUCAGGGCUUACUCUAAGUCCAGGACGAUUUCAUCUGGAGAUCCUUAACUAAUUACAUCAGCAAAGACCCUGUUUUCAAAUCAGGCCACAUUCACAGGUACUGGGAAUCAGAACUUCAGUGUAUCUUUUUGUGGCACACAAUUCAAGCCACUACAGCUUGCAGUGAGGGAAGGGAAAAGGAGGGGAGGAGAAAAAUUAUUAGCUUGUGAAACAAUUGCUACACAUGCUAUAUAAUUUUUGACUGCUCAAGAUGUUAGCAUUUCUCACAGGGAGAAGUUAAAAAGCUGCCCACACAAAGUCACACACCUGCUUUAAAAAGAAACUCUUUUGAUUCUACUAGGUUGCCUUUGCAUAUGGGCAAGUAGUUGAAAGAAAUAGGUCAGGGUUCUGAGGAGGUCACCUGGGGCAGGUGUGCCCUACCUUUGCACCUGAGUCCCCUACUGAAGCACAAGAUGACAACAAUGGUAGAACUCAGAAGAUGUCCAGCAAAGGUGCCAUUUGUCCUGGGGACACUCUGAUUUUGUGUGGGUGAUUUUGCAUUUGCUAAAAGUCGUGGUCUUCAUUCUUUUACAGUUUGGUAGGGCUGACCUUACUGUUAGAGGGGAAAAUAUCUCAUGGUUGCAGCAGCCAAGCUAAAAGCUCCAUUGAUUGAACUCAUCCUGCCCUUCAUCAGCCUUAGUGCCGUGACUCACACCUUUAGAGAGUUUACAGUGUGGAUUCUAGUAAAUGUGGGAGCACCCUGUUAAAAGUCAAAUGUCUCAACUGGGGUCGGGUGUUGAAGGAAGAGGACAUUAAAUGAUUUUUAGACAUCACUACUUGAAACAUUGGCUUAACAGAUAAUAUCUUACUAUUUAUUUGGUAGAGUUCUAAGAUGGGUGUUAACCUUGGAAUCUAUAUAGCUUCAGGGGCAGGGAGUAUGGGGAUCAGCUAAAGAAGGAAUGGAUCACAGAAAGCAACUUGGUGAGAUAACAUCUCCUAUCACGACUCCAGAACCUUUGAACACAUCAGUGUCAGACCUGCAACUUUGUUCAUAAUUGUCAAAACUUGGCAGUAACCAUGAUGCUGAUGUCCUUCAGUAGGUGAACAAAUAAAUUAACUGUGGUACAUACAUUCUGACAAUGGAAUAUUAUUCUGCACUAAAAACAAAUGUGCUAUCAAGCCAUGAAAAGCCAUGGAGGAAACUUAAAUGCGUAUUGCUAAGUGAAAGAAGCCAAUCUGAAGGGGCUACAUACUCUUUAUUCCAAGUACAUGACAUCUGGAAAUGACAAAACUAUGGACACCAUAAAAAGAUCCGUGGUUACCAAGGGUUGCGGUUUGGGGUAUGGAUACCUGGAGCACAGAGGAUUUUUAAGGCUGUGAAACUGUAUGACACUAUAAUAAUGGAUAUGUGUCAUUAGACAUUUGUCAAAACCCAUAGUAUGUACAACAGCAAUAGCAAACUCCAGUGUAACCUGUGGAGUUUGAGUGAUUAUGAUGUGUCAACAUAGGUUCAUCAGCUGUUAACAAAUGUACCCGUUUGGUGGGGCUAUAAAUGUGUGACAACUUAAAUUCUGCUUAACGGACUUUCUUUCUUAUUUCCUUUCUUUCUUUCUUUCUUUCUUUUUUUUUUGGUUUGUCUCUUGCAUCUUAUGUUAUCUCUGCAGUAAGUGUAGCUAAAUGAAAAAUCCCCAGGAUUCUAAACAGAUUGAUUAGAAAUUAUUUGAUUUUCUUUAUUUCAUUUUAUAUUACUUUUUAAGACCCGGUCAAAGAACAUUUACAUAUGAUGUGUGGGUAUCCAUAGAAUUAUGUCAUGGUUGCAUAUGCGGUUUUAGCCUAUGCUAUAAAAUGCCUACUUUUUUAAAAAAGGCGUUAUUUUCUUAGAGCAGUUUUAGGUUCACAGCAAAACUGAAAGGAAAUUACAGAGAUGUCUCGUAUACCCUUUGCCCUCACAUAUUUGAAAUGUCUUUUCAAAUAUUUUCCUCAUUUAUUAAGUAGCUGGUUGGUCUCAUUAUUAAGUUGUGAUAUAUCUUUAUGUAUUCUGAAUAAAGUCCUUUGUCAGAUCUACAUAUUACAAAUAUUUCCGCUCACUCGGUGGCUUACUUUUUAAUGUUCAUAAUGUUGUCUUACAAAGAGAAAAAGGUUUUCAUUUGAUAAAAUACAAUUUUUUAAUUUUUACAAUUUA